rnacentral:rRNA from 1 species
CAUGCAAGUCGAGGGGUAUAGUUCUUCGGAGCUAGAGACCGGCGCACGGGUGCGUAACGCGUAUGCAAUCUACCUUUUACAGAGGGAUAGCCCAGAGAAAUUUGGAUUAAUACCUCAUAGCAUUAUGAUAUGGCAUCGUAUUAUAAUUAAAGUUCCAACGGUAAAAGAUGAGCAUGCGUCCCAUUAGCUAGUUGGUGUGGUAACGGCACACCAAGGCUACGAUGGGUAGGGGUCCUGAGAGGGAGAUCCCCCACACUGGUACUGAGACACGGACCAGACUCCUACGGGAGGCAGCAGUGAGGAAUAUUGGACAAUGGGCGCAAGCCUGAUCCAGCCAUGCCGCGUGCAGGAUGAAGCAUCUAUGGUGUGUAAACUGCUUUUGUACAGGAAGAAACCCUCCCACGUGUGGGAGAUUGACGGUACUGUAAGAAUAAGGAUCGGCUAACUCCGUGCCAGCAGCCGCGGUAAUACGGAGGAUCCAAGCGUUAUCCGGAAUCAUUGGGUUUAAAGGGUCCGUAGGCGGCCUUAUAAGUCAGUGGUGAAAUCUCUCGGCUCAACCGGGAAAUGGCCAUUGAUACUGUAGGGCUUGAAUUAUUAGGAAGUAACUAGAAUAUGUAGUGUAGCGGUGAAAUGCUUAGAGAUUACAUGGAAUACCAAUUGCGAAGGCAGGUUACUACUAAUGGAUUGACGCUGAUGGACGAAAGCGUGGGUAGCGAACAGGAUUAGAUACCCUGGUAGUCCACGCCGUAAACGAUGGAUACUAGCUGUUGGGAGCAAUCUCAGUGGCUAAGCGAAAGUGAUAAGUAUCCCACCUGGGGAGUACGUUCGCAAGAAUGAAACUCAAAGGAAUUGACGGGGGCCCGCACAAGCGGUGGAGCAUGUGGUUUAAUUCGAUGAUACGCGAGGAACCU